GCCGAGGUGGUGGAAUUGGCAGACACGUAUGCCUUAGGAGCAUAUGCCUUCGGGUGUGAGGGUUCAAAUCCCUCCCUCGGCA
rnacentral:tRNA from 1 species